rnacentral:sRNA from 1 species
UUUCGAAUUACAAGUUACAGAAGCAAAGCGGCGCAGCCCGAGUAAAACAGAAUAAAACUGAAGCAAAAACUCAAUGUCGACUAGAUGUCUCAGGACAAACCCCUCAGACACCUAUUUAUACAAAACAAUAUAAAAUGAUAGUAGAUGAGCCGGAAACCUAAUCGACCGUCCCAUAGAGUGAUAAUGGGCCGAGAUGGGCAUCGUGAUCGGAUGAAGCUCCGGACCGCUUCCAAACACUUCUUCGUCUCCUCUUCUCUUCCUUGUGCUCAGCUUGUCUAGUUGAGUGUGGAUUUGAGUAGAAUUUGAAGAUGUGGUCGAGUGCCUAGUCGAGUGGUGGUAGAGUGAUGAUACUCGAUCUCGUGGUCGAGUAGAGUGAAUGUCCGAGUGGUGGUCAGGGGUGUGACGAAGUGUUACUCGACCCAGUGGUCGAGUGGUGUCAUCGAGUAGCAUGGAGUGUGGUUACUCGACCAGGGGGUCGAGUGAUUGGUAAGAACGGCCUCAAUGUUACUAGACCAAGGGGCCGAGUGUGCUGCUGGAGUUACUCGACCAAGGGGUCGAGUAUGUCUUCUGGUUCCGGCUCUCUUCUUCCAAUUUGCUCGUCAAUAGCUCCAAAUCACUUGAAAACAACUCAGAAAUAGAAUAUGUAUGCAAAGCUAUCCUAAUCAUGCAACUAAUCAUGCAAAAUAUGCAAGAAUGAUGAGGAAUGAUAUAAAAUAGUGAUGAAUGAUAUGAAACUAGACUCAAAACGAUGAUGAAUGAACAUAGAAAACUUGCAAAAUAUAGACAUAUCAACUCCCCCAAACUUAGUCUUUGCUUACCUUCAAGCAAAUAAGAAGACAUAGCUGAAGGAGAGGUUUGAAGGUGGGGACUCAGAACCAAAGCAUCAGAUAAAGCAGAUAAAAUCAAUGUCUAAGUUGGUAGUUCUAAGAUGCGAUAUGAUCGGAUUUUACUCAAAAACGUUAGCCAUGCCUUGUUAUGAUUCAAUGCAUCAUCAAUGAACUCAUUUGGCUAAGGUGAAGGUUGAGAGACAAAGAUGAUCCCU